rnacentral:rRNA from 1 species
GCGGCGCGCUUAAACAUGCAAGUCGAGCGAGAAAGUGGAGCAAUCCAUGAGUACAGCGGCGUACGGGUGAGUAACACGUGGGUAAUCUACCUUUUAGUGGGGAAUAACUCUGGGAAACCGGAGCUAAUACCGCAUAAUCCUGUGAAGGGAAAGCAGCAAUGCGCUGAAAGAGGAGCCCGCGGCCGAUUAGCUAGUUGGUGAGGUAACGGCCCACCAAGGCGAUGAUCGGUAGCCGGCCUGAGAGGGCACACGGCCACACUGGCACUGAAACACGGGCCAGACCCCUACGGGAGGCAGCAGUGGGGAAUCUUGCACAAUGGAGGCAACUCUGAUGCAGCGACGCCGCGUGAGCGAUGAAGCCCUUCGGGGUGUAAAGCUCUUUCGGCAGGGACGAUAAUGACGGUACCUGAAGAAGAAGCUGCGGCUAACUACGUGCCAGCAGCCGCGGUAAUACGUAUGCAGCGAGCGUUGUUCGGAAUUACUGGGCGUAAAGAGUGUGUAGGCGGUGCUCUAAGUUCGGUGUGAAAUCUCCUGGCUUAACUGGGAG